AGCUGCGCUCUCUCUGGUUCUGCCUAGCGGGAAGUCUGGUGUAGAAGAAGCAAUCACCAGAAUAAAGGUGUCUGGGGUGGCCUUUGCUCUACACGGGACAGCCCAAGGCUCAGGCAGGAGACUGAGAGCUACAGCACUGACUUUCCUGAUAUUAAAGCAUUCAGAGCUGUACUGAGCUGGGCUCCAGUGUCCUUGGGUCUCCAGUUUGCCAAUGAUCUUGCCAUUAUACAACUCUUAGUCCAGAGGCUGGAACCUGAGGACAGAGUGGACUGCCAGAAUCCAUGGAUUGAACCAAGGAUGGGAGACAACACUAACACUGAGUCUCUUAGCUAUGGUGCCAGAAGCUCUGAGAGGCACCAAUCACAAGCCCACUCUUGUGGCUCACUUAGGAGUGGAAGCCCUCCUCCUGUGAAGCCUAAUGAGAGUCUCUCUCUGACCUCUGAGUAUCCAUGUGCUCCCUGGGCAGGAGACAAGCAAGGGGAAGUUCUAUUUCUGCCUCUUCCUAGUUAUAUAGCUCUGAACAAGUCAGAAGAGAGCCAAAGAACUGACCAGAGUCAUCAUCAGCUCUAAUAGGGCUGCUCCAUGCAGGCACUGGCACAGGAACUCAGUUACUUCAACUGUGGGCAUUAUUUAUCCCGUCUGCUCCAAUCCCAGGAGCAAUGCUCCAAAUGAUCUCAGGGACUAUCCUGAAUGCAUCUAGGGAUAAGCGUGUUUGGGAAAUUGGACCUCUCUACAGCUCUGCCCCGGCUCAGGCCAGAUCCUAAGUAGUGGGGGUGGCCAUGCAGGUGGACUGGGGGCUGCUGUGGGCUAGCAUCUAACUAAGAAGAGGCCUGUGGAGGUGGGAAGCUGGCUCCAUGUCUCCCAAGUGGGAGCUUGCCUGGAUCUCAGACAGUCCUGCCUUUCUGGUUUGGGCUUCCCGGCUUUUGCUGCUGUCCUCCGGGGCAAGCUAUUUUAGGUAGCAGUCAAAAUAAAACUGAGAUUAACCCAGAAUUCUUGGCAGUCAAACAAUACCAUAAUUAUGUGCUUUUUAAGUUCAGAAAUGAGGCAUCUGGCACUGACCCACCAGGGUUUGGGGGGCGCCUUGAGGAUAAUAAGGCCUGCGUCUUGGGCCCUGUCACCUUUACACAUCCUUAGUCAUGGGCAACCACUAUAGAACCAUAGCUCUCUUCGAGGUGUUACUUUUGUCUCCAGAGACUCAUAUUGCCAGAAGAAUGGUGUAACUUGCUUGCACACCAAAUCCUGGCCCGUUGGACGGGUGAUUUAUUAUUCAUUUCUAUAUCAUAAGUCCUCUCUCAAAAAGUCCUGAUCCCAGUGGCCCCAGGGCAGUGAGCGAACAGAGAAGCUUGUGUUCUAGGGCUGAAGAUCAGGGCAGGAAUUCACUAGAGGAGUAUGUGUGCACUUUGAGGAGUGCAGACCCCAGAAUCCAGCAAAUAGGCCCCUUCCUCUUUGCUGGGCGCUGAGGGGGAGGCGAGGGGAUUAGACCUCUGAGAGCAAAAGCCUUUACUCCAGACAAAAGAAUGGGAGAUUCAAAUAGACGGGAGGGGUCAGGAUGAUGUCAGCAAGGUCACUGCCUGAAGAACAGUGGCCACAAGCGGAGGCUUUGGGCAGAUCUCUGAGCUUCCUCAAAAGACUUCAAAUUCCUGAAUGAGAUAAAAAGAAAAUAGAGCUUAGUUCCAGGUGUGUCCUCAGAGGUGUGAUGGGGAAAAGACAUAAUCAUCCCUCAACGCCAACCUGGCCCUAGGGACAAGGAGUUUCUGGACAAUUAGCAGGAGUGCAGACCUUUUAGACAGAAAAGUGGUCUAAAAGGAGAUUAAGUUAGGAAGCCCUCCCUGUUGGCUUGGAUGAAAGCAGACACCUAGCUGGUGACAGCCCUGGGAGUAGGUACCUCACAUUCAAGGGAACAUCAUGGGGGAGGUCCUGCCUCUUUUCUCACCAGUCAUGGCUACCGGCACUUUUGCUGCUGACUGUUGCUGGAGACUCUUUCCCUCUUAAGUUUUUACAAGAUCUUCCAUUACUCCCAUGGCCAUGAGUCUGCUCUCUGGGGAGGGUCUCCUAAAGAUGGAGUCUUAACUUUUGCCUCGGCACACACACACACACACACACACACACACACACACACACACACACACACACACACCCCUGAAACAUCUUUCAUGGCCUCAGGAGGCAGAAAGAAUAACCACUCUUGGGAUGCUGUUUCUAUGACCGGAUAUCCAGAGAGAUGAACUUAGAUGAGAGAAAGGGCAUUGAGUUUUCUCUAGGAGGGAGAUGAGAAAACACGGUGAUAACCGGUGAGGGAGGCUAGGAGUUUUAAGCAGGUGGGAUUGGAAGGCAGGGCCUCUGCCGUUGCUUGGACUCAGCCGAUGUGCUUCCCACACAGAAGAAGGGCUGUCCAGUUCUCACUUCCCUGUCUUGUGUGCUGUCUAGUAGGAAGGAAUCGUGGCAUCUAUAAUGAAAGAAAAAAGCUGCCCCAAAAUUAGCCACAUCCCUCUGGGGACUUUGUGGCAAUAUCUUCUAGGCUUCUGGAGGCCUAGAAGGAAUGGACUGACCCCUGUCAAGGGCAGAGGGACUUGGAUGAAUAGGAUUGGUGGCAGUAAAGUGAUAAACAAGACCUAAAUGCUCUUCAUUGGGCUGUAGUUAUGGCUUGAGAAGACCAUAAAAGGGAGGAGAGCUCACAGAGGGGAACACAGCCCUCUCCAGAUAGGAAGCUGACUAGCUUCUAGUGUCUAGACCUCCAUGUCUGCCUCCCAGCUGGGAUGUUUGUAAAGAUAGAGGUCCCAUUCGUUAUAAGUGGGCUUCCUGGGCUUUUGUCUGUUGCUAACCUAGGGCAAUUGUCUAGAACUGUGCCUGCUUGGCAGUGAUAUCUUAGGAAAACCUAAGGUGCAUGGACACAAGAGCACCUCCUUUGCUGGACUGAGACAGAGCAACAUCAUUGGGCAUGCAAGCAGCACUUGCAGGCUCCAAAAGCUGUUUUAAAUUCUUUCUAGUGCUAGAUGGGUACAUUAAUGAUCACCGGUAAGGAAAUGUCCAUGUCCUGCUGGUACAGUGAGGAUGUGUCUACAGCUCCCCUCCUACCUCCUGGCUUGGGUGCCAGAGAACUCUCCUCUGAAAGGUACUUUAGAUGAAGUUAAGGUGUGAGCCCUUUCUCUAGGAUGGCCUCAGAAACAAUGGCAAAGGUCUCAUGAAAUGUUGCCUCCAAAGCCCAGAUGUUUGUCUGUUUGGUGAUUCUAGAUCCUGUCAAUCAAUACUAAGAAUGACAUGGUAUAUUAAUUUGAUUGUAGUCUAAUUUAUUAGUUUUUUAUUAGUAAUGUUAUCUUACAUAAGAAUUUCCUUUGUACUAACAAACCAUAAACACAUUAAGUGUUUAGUUAGAAGGUUUAGUUUUCCCUUUGACAUUUAGGUCUGUGCUAAAUUCUUAGAUUAGGAAUUAGCAUUUGGGUGUGGAUUAAGGGUUCUACUUCUUCCCUAGUAACCGUGGGUUGUAUCCUCAUUUAUUUACCAAACCUGUUUUUUUUUUUCCUCAGAGAUGUACAACUUUGCCUCUGUCCUAUGUGGAAAUUUCACGAAUAACUCAGUCUGACCCUGGACUCUUUGUUCUGUUCCAUUGGUCAACCUUUCUAUCCACACACAAGAACACGUUGUCUUUGUCCCUUUGCGAUAAGUUGGUGCCUGGUAGGAGGGAGGUAGGAAGAUGCUGUCUUCCAACCUCUUCAGGAGUUCUUCACUAUUCUUGGUCAUUUAGAUUCUACUGAAAUUUUGGAAUUAUUUUGUCAAUUACCUCAAAAAUCUCUGUUGGGAUUGUAGUGGAAUUGUCUUGACUCCAUUGUCCUGAAAUCUACUAAGGUUACCGCACAGCCGAAAAAUAAACGAUGCUGAG
ensembl:lncRNA